CCUACGGGUGGCAGCAGUGGGGAAUAUUGCGCAAUGGGCGAAAGCCUGACGCAGCGACGCCGCGUGAGGGAUGAAGGUCUUCGGUUUGUAAACCUCUGUCAGCAGGGAAGAAAGGUCACUGUCCUAAUCAGCAGUGAAUUGACGGUACCUGCAAAGGAAGCACCGGCUAACUCCGUGCCAGCAGCCGCGGUAAUACGGAGGGUGCGAGCGUUAAUCGGAAUUACUGGGCGUAAAGGGCGCGUAGGCGGUAUGUCAAGUCAAGGGUGAAAUCCCCGGGCUCAACGUGGGAACUGCCUUUGAAACGGGGAAACUGGAGUGUGUGAGAGGAUAGUGGAAUUCCAGGUGUAGGAGUGAAAUGCGUAGAUAUCUGGAGGAACAUCAGUGGCGAAGGCGACUAUCUGGCACAUAACUGACGCUGAGGAGCGAAAGCGUGGGUAGCAAACAGGAUUAGAUACCCCAGUAGUC
rnacentral:rRNA from 1 species